GGGGGUAUAGCUCAAUGAUAGAGCAUUUGACUGUAGAUCAAGAGGUCCCCAGUUCAAAUCUGAGUGCCCCUU